UAAACUACGAUUAGAUACCCUAUUAUUUUAAAUGUAAAUUAUUGAUACUUGAGUAGUAAGAGUUAUGGUCUUGAAACUCAAAGAAUUUGGCGGUGUUUUAGUCCUUUCAGAGGAACCUGCCCUAUAAUCGAUAUUCCACGUUAGAUCUUACUUAAUCUGGUUAUUCAGUUUGUAUACCGCCGUCGUCAGAAUGUCCUAUAAGGGUAUAAAUUUUCUUUAAUUUAAAUAUUGAAAAGAUGUCAGGUCAAGGUGCAGUUAAUGGUUAAGUAGAGGUGGGUUACAAUAAAUUUAUUUAUUACGGAUAAUUAAUUGAAAUAUUGAUUUGAAGGUGGAUUUGAAAGUAAUUUUAUACAGUAUAAUAUAUUGAUUUUGGCUCUAAAACAUGCACACAUCGCCCGUCGCUCUUA
rnacentral:rRNA from 1 species